GGGGAAUAUUGGACAAUGGACCAAAAGUCUGAUCCAGCAAUUCUGUGUGCACGAUGACGUUUUUCGGAAUGUAAAGUGCUUUCAGUUGGGAAGAAAAAAAUGACGGUACCAACAGAAGAAGUGACGGCUAAAUACGUGCCAGCAGCCGCGGUAAUACGUAUGUCACAAGCGUUAUCCGGAUUUAUUGGGCGUAAAGCGCGUCUAGGUGGUUAUGUAAGUCUGAUGUGAAAAUGCAGGGCUCAACUCUGUAUUGCGUUGGAAACUGUGUAACUAGAGUACUGGAGAGGUAAGCGGAACUACAAGUGUAGAGGUGAAAUUCGUAGAUAUUUGUAGGAAUGCCGAUGGGGAAGCCAGCUUACUGGACAGAUACUGACGCUGAAGCGCGAAAGCGUGGGUAGCAAACAGGAUUAGAUACCCUGGUAGUCCACGCCGUAAACGAUGAUUACUAGGUGUUGGGGGUCGAACCUCAGCGCCCAAGCAAACGCGAUAAGUAAUCCGCCUGGGGAGUACGUACGCAAGUAUG
rnacentral:rRNA from 1 species